GUUUAUUUCACCCAGGUGCAGGUGGGCUGAGUCCGAAAAAGGAGUCAGUAAAGGGUGGUGGGAUUAUCAUUAGUUCUUACAGGUUUGGGAUAGGCGAACAAAGUACCUUCUUAAGGGUACUUUGAAUAUUACAAAGUACCUUCUUAAGGGUACUUUGAAUAUUACAAAGUACCUUCUUAAGGGUACUUUGAAUAUUACAAAGUACCUUCUUAAGGGUACUUUGAAUAUUACAAAGUACCUUCUUAAGGGUACUUUGAAUAUUACAAAGUGGUACUUUGAAUAUUACAAAGUACCUUCUUAAGGGCAGGGGAGAAUAUAUUGUGUCAGUUAGGGUGGGGCAGGAACAAAUCACAAUGGUGGAAUGUCAUCAGUUAAGACUAUUUUCACUUCUUUUGUGGAUCUUCAGUUGCUUCAGGCCAUCUGGAUGUAUACAUGCAGGUCACAGGGAAAAUGAUGGCUUAGCUUGGGCUCAGAGGCCUGACAACAGGGAGUAAUGGGGCUUAUGGGAACAGAGAAAGGCAUCUAGUCCUCCCCACUGGGCUCUGCAUAGGUUGGUGAGAUAGGAUUUUAGAAGGGGGCCACUAAAGAUUCCUAGGUACCUGCCGGGCAUGGUGGCUCAUGCCUGUAAUCCCAGCACAUUGGGAGGCCAAGGCAGGCAGAUCACCUGAGGUCAGGAGUUUAAGACCAGCCUGGCCAACGUGGCGAAACCCUGUCUCUACUAAAAAUACAAAAAUUAGCCGGGAAUGCCCGAAAGAUUCCUAGGUAACUGGUCCAGUACUUUUCAAACUUGACAGAGGACAUGAGCGCCUAGGGAUCUUGUUAAGCUGCAGACUGACUCAGCCCGUGUACGGUGGGGCUUAAAUUCUGCAUUUAUUUAUUUAUUUAUUUAUUUAUUUUUAUUUUUAAUUUUUUUUUUGAGAUGGAGUCUCCCUCUUGCUCUGUCGCCAGGCUGGAGUGCAGUGGCGCAAUCUCGUCUCACUGCAACCUCUGCCUCCCAGGUUCAAGCGAUUCUCCUGCCUCAGCCUCCUAAGUAGCUGAGACUACAGGUCUGUGUCACCAUGCCCAGCUAAUUUUUAUAUUUUUAGUAGAGAUGGAGUUUCUCCAUGUUGGCCAGGAUGGUCUUGAUCUCUUGACCUCGUGAUCCUGCCCGCCUCGGCCUGCCAAAGUGCUGGGAUUACAGGCGUGAGUCACCAUGCCUGGCCUGCAUUUUUUUUUUUAAGAGACAGGGUCUUGCUCUCUGGCCCAGGCUGGAAUGCAGUGGCACCAUCAUAGCUCACUGCAGCCUCCAACUCCUGGGCUCAAGUGAACCUCCUGCCUCAGCCUCCUGAGUAGCUGGGACUACAGGUAUGUACCACCAUACCCAGCUAGUUUUCCUUUUUAAUUUUUUUUUCCUUUUUUAUAUCUUGUUGCAUAUCAACAUUUUUUAUUUUUAGUAGAGACAAGGUCGUGCUAUGUUGCUCAGGUGUUCUCAAACUCCUUGCCUCAAGAGAUCCUCCCCUCAGCCUCCCAAAGCUCUGGGAUUGCAGGCUUGAGCCACUGGAGCUGGCCUGAGACUCUGCAUUUCUAACAAGCUCCCAGGUGAUGCCAAAGAUGCUGGUCUCUGGCCCAUGCUUGGAGGUGGGAGGGACUAGUCUCUCAUUUUGAAGAUGGAGAAACUAAGACUGAGAGAAGGAGGCAACCUGCCUAAGUCACAGGGCUGCUAAGUGAUAGAUCUGGAUCUAGAAAUCAAGUCCCAGGGGCUUUUGUUUCAUUGUAGUGGCUGAGCGCCUUGACUUGAGUGUUACCCUCGGGGUAAGUCCCCAGGGACACCACCUUUCUCCUUCCUCGGCUGCAUAUAUUGGGGCAGAGGCCCUUUGCCACGACUCCCCCCACCACACGCUGUGAACCAGCUUCAGCUCUUUAGCUGGCCGCCUCAACAGCCCAGUGCCUCCCCUGGGCCAUCCAAUCCCAUGUGGGGUGGGCCUGGAACUUCCCCUCGAGCUCAGAACAGUUCCACCCCCUGCAGCUUCACUCCCACUUCACAGACUCAAACUCCCUCCCAAGGGUGCAGGGAGGAUCUGCAGUCCUGGUCUUUGCAGUCCUCUCUGUCUCUGGGCCACCACCAAGUGGGAUCUCCAGGGUCCUCAGGAGCACUCCUCCUGCCAGCGGGUACAAGCUUCUCUGACCUGAGAGCAGCACUUUGACCUCACCCUCAACACUCCACCUCUCUGUCACCCAAGAGGAGUAGCUUCUCCCAGCAGGCUCCGCUCCUCCCAUCGUUUCGUGCUCAACGGCAAGGCCUUUGCUGACACUAUGCAAUCAGAUCAAAUUCAGAAGAGGAUGAGUGGAUGCAGCUACUACACUCCUUGGUUUCAAAUUUUGUGCUAAUUGAAACUGCCUCAUUGCUCUCAUUGAUUUUCUUUGUAACAGAUAAAUGCUAUUAAAUUGAAUUGCAAAAUAUAUAAUAAAAUACCACCAUUACUUGCAUUACCUACCAUAAGAUUUUGCUUUUAUAAAGUUCUGCCACUACAAAAAUUAUCUGGGCGAGGUGGUGGGCACCUGUAAUCCCAGCUACUCGGGAGGCUGAGGCAGGAGAAUUGCUGGAACCUGGGAGGCAGAGGUCACAGUGAGCCGAGAUCAUGCCACUGCACUCCAGCCUGGGUGACAGAGCAAGACUCCAUCUCAGGAAAAAAAAAAAAGUUUUGCCGCUAAACAUUGAAGACUCUUGCCUAAUUUUUCUGCCUUUCCAGAUGCUGACACAGCUGCAGUGCUUCUUGGUCACUGUGUACCCACAGAUGCUUGGGGUGGCAUGCAUGCAGCCUGAGGGAUAGUUCCAGUUCUUCCUUUUAGUCACCUUCUAAUUCUCAGGCUGGUCAUUUCCAUCAGCCUCAGCUUCCUUGGCUGCAUAAAGAGGAAGUAGACUACAGUAACUUCAGCUGAUGCCUGAAGUACCUGCUGGCUGGGACAGUCUAGGACUCUUUAAGUUGGAGCUCAGGGCAUUAAUGCACAGGGUGGUGUUAAUGCUGUGAAGGUAGCUGAUGAUAGGAGACAGCUAGAUGGAGCAGGAAUGGAGAGGCUGGUCUUCACAGAGGCAGAGGGAAGAAUUUGCAGGUGAUUUGAGCAGCUAGUGUACUGCCAUCUAGGUCACUGUUAUGGUUUGGGUUAUGUUAUGGUUGGGUCACUGUUAUGAGAUAUGGGUGUCCCCACCCAUAUCUCAUAUUGAAUUGUAGUUCCCAUAAUCCUCACGUGUCAUGGGAGGGAGCAGUUGGAGAUAAUUGAAUCAUGGGGGUGGGGGAGGUUUCCCUCUUCCUAUUCUCGUGAUAGUGAGUUCUCAUGAGAUCUGAUGGUUUUAUAAGGGGCUUUUCCCCCUUUUGUAAUGGACUUCACUCUUGCCUGCCACCAUGUAAGACGUGACUUUGCUCCUCCUUUGCCUUCUACCACAAUUGUGAGGCCUCUCCAACCAUGUGGAACUGUGAGUCUUUUUCUUUAUAUUAAACCUCUUUUUCUUUAUAAAUUACCCAGUCUCUCGUAUGUCUUUAUUAACAGCGUGAGAACAGACUAUUACAGUCACCAUGUUAGGGUCUGUGCUGCACAUUCUCCAGGUGUCCCUCCAGGAUCACUCUCCCUACUUCUCCAUCCUCCCUAUGCCCAGGACUGGAGGUGGAUGAUGCAUAUAAAUUGCAUC
rnacentral:lncRNA from 10 species